rnacentral:rRNA from 1 species
GACGAACGCUGGCGGCGUGCUUAACACAUGCAAGUCGAACGGAAAGGCCCUGCUUUUGUGGGGUGCUCGAGUGGCGAACGGGUGAGUAACACGUGAGUCACCUGCCCUUGACUUUGGGAUAACUUCAGGAAACUGGGGCUAAUACCGGAUAGGCGCUCCUGCUGCAUGGUGGGGGUUGGAAAGUUUCGGCGGUUGGGGAUGGACUCGCGGCUUAUCAGCUUGUUGGUGGGGUAGUGGCUUACCAAGGCUUUGACGGGUAGCCGGCCUGAGAGGGUGACCGGCCACAUUGGGACGGAGAUACGGCCCAGACGCCUACGGGAGGCAGCAGUGGGGAAUAUUGCACAAUGGGCGGAAGCCUGAUGCAGCAACGCCGCGUGCGGGAUGACGGCCUUCGGGUUGUAAACCGCUUUCGCCUGUGACGAAGCGUGAGUGACGGUAAUGGGUAAAGAAGCACCGGCUAACUACGUG